AAUAAACCAAUUUUUCACUUUUUACCUAUAAUUUUUAACUCUUUGUCUUAUUCAAUUUUUGUUGUGAUUGAUAUUUUUGUUUUUAUUAGAUGAUAAAUCAUGAAUAGUACUUUACAUGUGACUAAUUUUUUUCUAUUUUUUAAAAAAAUUUUCAAAUAAGACGGAUGGUCAAAUGUUGAACACGGAAACCGGAG
rnacentral:pre_miRNA from 1 species